rnacentral:rRNA from 1 species
UACGUAGGGUGCAAGCGUUAAUCGGAAUUACUGGGCGUAAAGCGUGCGCAGGCGGUUCGCUAAGACAGAUGUGAAAUCCCCGGGCUUAACCUGGGAAUGGCAUUGGUGACUGCACGGCUAGAGUGUGUCAGAGGGGGGUAGAAUUCCACGUGUAGCAGUGAAAUGCGUAGAGAUGUGGAGGAAUACCGAUGGCGAAGGCAGCCCCCUGGGAUAACACUGACGCUCAUGCACGAAAGCGUGGGGAGCAAACAGG